GAUGAAGAACGUAGCGAAAUGCGAUAAGUAAUGUGAAUUGCAGAAUUCAGUGAAUCAUCGAAUCUUUGAAUGCACAUUGCGCCCCCUGGUAUUCCGGGGGGCAUGCCUGUCCGAGCGUCAUUACAACCCUCACGCUCAGCUUGGUGUUGGGCCCCGCCGCCCCGGCGGGCCCUAAAGUCAGUGGCGGUGCCGUCCGGCUCCGAGCGUAGUAAUUCUUCUCGCUCUGGAGGUCCGGUCGUGUGCUCGCCAGCAACCCCCAAUUUUUUUCAGGUUGACCUCGGAUCAGGUAGGGAUACCCGCUGAACUUAAGCAUAUCAAUAAGCGGAGGA
rnacentral:misc_RNA from 1 species